CCCCAUUGCCAGGCCAGCGGCAGCCAUUUAGAAAAUUUUUGCUGUUUCCAUGGCAACGGCGGCCAUUUUGAAAAUUCGAAACUCAAAAGUUAAGUCUACAUAAGCUAGGCAAAAUUUGUUAUAAGUUUCAUUAAAUUUAAAGCAUUUUGAAGUUUUUCAUAAUUUUGCUGUUCCCAUGGUAACGGCGGCCAUUUUGAAUAUUCCAAAGUCAAACCCCGCUGCAAUUUUUUCCCUCCAUAAUCAUAUAUCAUCAUAUACCAUUUAAUGUCUCUAGAAUAAAUUUAACAUUGAUGUUCUGGAAUGUUCUGUGAAAAUUCAAAGUUUUGACCUUUUUGCAUUGUUUCCAUGGUAACAACAGAUAUUUUGGAAAUUCCAACGCCAAAUUCCACAUCUUCCAAUGUUGCUCAUCGUUACUGUGAAGUUUCAUGAAGUUUGGAGCAUUUUGAUAUUUUUGAAAUUUUUGGUGUAGUUUCCAUGGCAACAUAGUAGUUCCAAUGAGUGCCAAAAUCAUCCAACACCUGUAUAUAGUGGGCACCUACAUUGUAUUAAAAUAUAAUGAUUCUGAGUUAAAGCAUAUCCAAACAGUUCACCAAAACAAAAAACUGGAUUUUUUCACAUUUGUUCCGUUUCCAUGGUAACGGCAGCCAUCUUGAACCAUUCCAUGCUUCA
rnacentral:lncRNA from 1 species